GGAGGGAGCGACCGUUGUUCGGAAUCACUGGGGCAUAAAGGGCGCGUAGGCUGUGGCGCAAGUCGGGUGUGAAAGCCCUCGGGCUCAACCGGGGGAACGGGCAUCCGAUACUGUGUCGCUAGAGUGCAGGAGGGGAGAGUGGAACUCCUGGUGGAGCGGUGAAAUGCGUAGAUAUCAGGAGGAACGCCGGUGGCGAAAGCGACUCUCUGGCCUGCAACUGACGCUGAGGCGCGAAAGCUAGGGGAGCAAACAGGAUUAGAUACCCUGGUAGUCCUAGCCGUAAACGAUGGGCACUAGGUAGGGGAGGAUUCCGAUGCCAUCCCUGCCGGAGAUAAUUUGUUAAGUGCCCCGCCUGGGGAGUAUGCACGCAAGUGUA
rnacentral:rRNA from 1 species